CCUACGGGCGGCAGCAGUGAGGAAUAUUGGUCAAUGGGCGGAAGCCUGAACCAGCCAAGUAGCUUGCAUUCUUCCUUCCCUCCUUUUUUUCCCCUGCUUUUAUACGGGAAUAACGCGCCUUACGUGUAGGGCUUUGCAUGUACCGUAUGAAUAAGGACCGGCUAAUUCCGUGCCAGCAGCCGCGGUAAUACGGAAGGUCCGGGCGUUAUCCGGAUUUAUUGGGUUUAAAGGGAGCGUAGGCCGCAUGUCAAGCGUGCUGUGAAAUGUCCGGGCUCAACCCGGGCCUUGCAGCGCGAACUGGCGUGCUUGAGUCCGCGGAAAGCAGGCGGAAUUCGUCGUGUAGCGGUGAAAUGCUUAGAUAUGACGAAGAACCCCGAUUGCGAAGGCAGCUUGCUGCAGCGGAACUGACGCUGAUGCUCGAAAGCGCGGGUAUCGAACAGGAUUAGAUACCCUUGUAGUC
rnacentral:rRNA from 1 species